UACGUAGGGGGCAAGCGUUGUCCGGAAUCAUUGGGCGUAAAGAGCGUGUAGGCGGAUUCGUGCGUCUGUCGCUGAAAUCCCCCGGCUCAACCGGGGAACGGGCGCGGAUACGACGAGUCUGGAGGGGCAUAGGGGGACCUGGAACUUCCGGUGGAGCGGUGAAAUGCGUUGAGAUCGGAAGGAACGCCCGUGGCGAAAGCGAGGUCCUGGAUGCCUACUGACGCUGAGACGCGAAAGCCAGGGGAGCGAACGGG
rnacentral:rRNA from 1 species